rnacentral:tRNA from 1 species
GCGGGUGUAGCUCAGUUGGCUAGAGCGUCUGCUUGCCAUGCAGAAGGUCGUGGGUUCGAGUCCCAUCACCCGCU